rnacentral:rRNA from 1 species
AUGGACUGUUUGGAGAUUGUCAAUCUCUGCAACUCGCGCCAAGUUCUUCGAGCUGUCGCGGCGCCUAUCAUUGAUGAGAUUUGGGAGCAUGCGUUGUCGUUCAAUUCUUUUGUUAUCCAACAUGUACAUAGAUCAGCAAACUUUGCCGCCCACCUUUGUGCGAAGCAGGCUAGCACAUUGGAGGUGACAGAGUGUUGGAUAGAUUCUACCCCUAGUUUUCUUGUAACUUGCCUCCUAGCAGAUGCUGCUGGGAUGGUUGAUGUUAAAUAA